rnacentral:rRNA from 1 species
UGGGGAAUUUUGGACAAUGGGGGCAACCCUGAUCCAGCAAUGCCGCGUGUGUGAAGAAGGCCUUCGGGUUGUAAAGCACUUUUGUCCGGGAAGAAAUCGCACCUGAUAAUACCGGGUGUGGAUGACGGUACCGGAAGAAUAAGGACCGGCUAACUACGUGCCAGCAGCCGCGGUAAUACGUAGGGUCCAAGCGUUAAUCGGAAUUACUGGGCGUAAAGCGUGCGCAGGCGGUUGUGCAAGACCGAUGUGAAAUCCCCGGGCUUAACCUGGGAAUUGCAUUGGUGACUGGACGGCUAGAGUGUGUCAGAGGGGGGUAGAAUUCCACGUGUAGCAGUGAAAUGCGUAGAGAUGUGGAGGAAUACCGAUGGCGAAGGCAGCCCCCUGGGAUAACACUGACGCUCAUGCACGAAAGCGUGGGGAGCAAACAG